rnacentral:rRNA from 1 species
UACGUAGGGGGCAAGCGUUGUCCGGAAUCAUUGGGCGUAAAGCGCGUGUAGGCGGUUCGGUAAGUCUGCUGUGAAAGUCCAGGGCUCAACCCUGGGAUGCCGGUGGAUACUGUCGGACUAGAGUACGGAAGAGGCGAGUGGAAUUCCCGGUGUAGCGGUGAAAUGCGCAGAUAUCGGGAGGAACACCGGUGGCGAAGGCGGGUCUCUGGGCAGUAACUGACGCUGAGGCGCGAAAGCCAGGGGAGCAAACGGG